UACGUAGGGUGCGAGCGUUAAUCGGAAUUACUGGGCGUAAAGCGUGCGUAGGCGGUUCUCCAAGUCCGUUGUGAAAGCCCCGGGCUCAACCUGGGAAUGGCAGUGGAAACUAGGGGACUGGAAUCUGGCAGAGGGGGGUGGAAUGCCGCGUGUAGCAGUGAAAUGCGUAGAGAUGUGGAGGAACACCAGUGGCGAAGGCGACUCUUUGGUCUGUAACUGACGCUGAGGCGCGAAAGCGUGGGGAGCAAACAGG
rnacentral:rRNA from 1 species